UACGGAGGAGGCAAGCGUUAUCCGGAAUGAUUGGGCGUAAAGCGUCCGCAGGUGGCUUAGUCAAGUCUGCUGUCAAAGCCAGUGGCUUAACCACUGAAAGGCAGUGGAAACUGACAGGCUAGAGUGCGGUAGGGGUAGAGGGAAUUCCCAGUGUAGCGGUGAAAUGCGUAGAGAUUGGGAAGAACACCGGUGGCGAAAGCGCUCUACUGGGCCUGCACUGACACUGAGGGACGAAAGCUAGGGGAGCGAAUGGG
rnacentral:rRNA from 1 species